rnacentral:rRNA from 1 species
UACGGGGGGGGCAAGCGUUGUUCGGAAUUACUGGGCGUAAAGGGUGCGUAGGCGGCUUUCUAAGUCGGAUGUGAAAACUCUGGGCUCAACCCAGAGCCUGCAUCCGAAACUGGAGAGCUAGGGUUCUGGAGGGGAAAGCGGAAUUCCUGGUGUAGCGGUGAAAUGCGUAGAUAUCAGGAGGAACACCGGUGGCGAAGGCGGCUUCUGGACAGAUACCGAUCGCUGAGACGCGAAAGCGUGGGGAGCGAACAGG